CCUACGGGAGGCAGCAGUGUGGAAUAUUGGUCAAUGGGCGAGAGCCUGAACCAGCCAAGUCGCGUGAAGGAUGACGGCCCUACGGGUUGUAAACUUCUUUUGUCAGGGAGCAAUUGGGUCCACGCGUGGGCUUAGCGAGAGUACCUGAAGAAAAAGCAUCGGCUAACUCCGUGCCAGCAGCCGCGGUAAUAAGGAGGAUGCGAGCGUCAUCCGGAUUUAUUGGGUUUAAAGGGUGCGUAGGCGGAAUAUCAAGUCAGCGGUAAAAAUUCGGGGCUCAACCCCGUCGUGCCGUUGAAACUGAUGGUCUUGAGUGGGCGAGAAGUAUGCGGAAUGCGUGGUGUAGCGGUGAAAUGCAUAGAUAUCACGCAGAACUCCGAUUGCGAAGGCAGCAUACCGGCGCCCAACUGACGCUGAAGCACGAAAGCGUGGGUAUCGAACAGGAUUAGAUACCCCGGUAGUC
rnacentral:rRNA from 1 species